AUUGAACGCUGGCGGCAGGCCUAACACAUGCAAGUCGAGCGAGCUGCGGACGGGUGAGUAAUUUAUGAGGACUGCCCGAUAGGGUGGGAUAACUACUGGAAACGGUGGCUAAUACCGCUUAGUAUCGGAUAACCCAUAUGGGUGUAGCUAGUAGGUAAGGUAAUGGCUUACCUAGGCGACGAUCCAUAGCUGGUCUGAGAGGAUGAUCAGCCACACUGGGACUGAGACACGGCCCAGACGCAUACGGAGCCAGCAGUGGGGAAGAGGGUACAAUGGGCGCACGCCGGAUGCAGCUAUGCCGAGUGUAUGAAGAAGGCUCUAGGGUUGUAAAGUACAUUUAGUCGAGAGUCGUUACCGACAGAAGAAGUACCGGCUAACUCCGUGCCAGCCGCCGCGGUAAUAC
rnacentral:rRNA from 1 species